rnacentral:lncRNA from 1 species
ACUCCAAGUAGGAAUCCUAGUCCUACUCCAAAUAGGAUUUCUAGUCCAAGUAGGAAUCCCAGUCCAAGUAGGAUUCCUAGUUCUAAUCCAAUUAGGACUCUAGGAAUCCUACUCCAAGUAGGACUCUUGUUCUAAGUCCAAUUAAUUAAUUCCCUUUGUUCCUUCUUCAACUUUUUAUCAAUCGAAUUGAUUACUUGUGAUUCCUAAUCACAAUUCAUCCAUCGGAUCGGUCAAUGCCUCUAGUGUGUGUGACCCCAUAGGUUCUACUCUGACUGGUAGUGAGAUAUAUUGUAAUCUCUAUCACAAUAUCAUUGAAAACUCCUUUCAAUGGGUUGGAACGAUUCCAACUCAACUCAUUAGGGUUUAUCGAUCAUCAAGAUAAUCCCUAUGAGUCCCACCAUCCACCAGUGACACCUAGCAGCAUGUAGUGGCUACCCAGCAGAAUAGAAUGAUGAACCUCUAGGUGCAGUUAUCAUGUGAUACAGUCCUACUAUCGUGGAUCCCUACAGGACGGAGGUCAUGGACAACUCGUCAAACCCCUUCGUCUGUCAUAUGUCAAGAUUUAUUCGACU